rnacentral:sRNA from 1 species
UAUUCUGCCCCACGGGGAAGGAUGAGAAGCUUCGACUAAGGUUCGACUCGAGCGAAGCGAGAAAACGUUGCCGCAGGCAACGGCCCGAAGGGCGAGGCGCUUUAGCGCCGAGUAAUCCUUCCCCCACCACCA